GCUUCAGGUGUUUGUUUGACAACAAGGAGCGCGUGAUGACAGACACCAAAACAAAACACGUGCAGUUUGAUUUAAAUACACAAUUUACAGAUGACAGCUUAGCGACAGACUCUUAAUGUGUUUAAACAGCACAUAUUCCAGCUCAACAGCAAAUUAAACCUGCGGAAUCUGCGAUAAAGAGGAGGAAUGGAGUGAAGAGACUCACCUAAUGAAGGUUGUGUUUGGACUGUACAGCCAACAGAAUCAGAGCUCUGGACAUUUGACAGCCAUGGACUGUAAGGAUGGACAUCUGCUGCUGGACAGGCAAAAGCGAAACGACUGCUGGUCAUGAUUCUGGAGGUCAGCGGAGACGCCAUGAUUCCCCACACCUUCUCACUCACUGUUCAACUGUUAUGUUCCCUGUUGUUACACACAAAAACAACUGUUCAAGUUACAGGUCCAGCAUGCUGAGUUGGGUCUUGAAUCACCUGGACUCCAACAAAACCUCAUCUUCAUUAACCCAGCAGAGCCACCAUGGCUUUCACAAUGAGUGUGUUGGAGACACUUUGAUGGAUGCUGAUGAUGGAGCUCAUGAGUUCUUAUAGUGUUUCAUUUUUAAAUUGGUUUCAUUUAACAAUCAUAUUUUUACAUUGAAUUCAUAUUUCAGUUUAGUUUUUGAAAGUUUCAUGAAUGGUUUGGUUAGUUUUAGUUCAGUUUUUAUUGUGUGAACACAUUUCUAUUUAGUUUCCAUAUAUUUAGUUUGAGUAAUUCUAGUUUUACAGAGUUAACAGAACACGACAGCAAUGUUGGCACAGCUUACAUUAUCUUGUGUGCAAACCUUAACUUGUGUGUGAAACUUAUUCAUAUUAAUAAGUUUAUAUGCAGUUAAACAUGCCAAGUUUAUAUUAUAUUUGGCGGAUGAAGAA